CCCUUAGAUGUUCUGGGCCGCACGCGUGCUACACUGAGUGGAUCAGCGGGUCAGGUUGCGCGAAAGCGUUUCCUAAUCUUUAAAUCCGCUCGUGAUGGGGAUUGACGGUUGCAAUUUUCUGUCAUGAACGAGGAAUACCUUGUAAGCGCGGGUCAUCAUCCCGCGCUGAAUACGUCCCUGCCCUUUGUACACACCGCCCGUCGCUCCUACCGAUUGAAUGUGCUGGUGAAAAGUUCGGAUUGGGAAUAGGAGACGGCAACGUAUCCUGUUUCUGAGAAAAUCUUUAAACCCUCCCAUUUAGAGGAAGGAGAAGUCGUAACA
rnacentral:rRNA from 1 species